rnacentral:rRNA from 1 species
CUAAGCGGUGGAAAAGAAACUAACAAGGAUUCCCCCAGUAACUGCGAGUGAAAAGGGAAAAGCCCAGCGCCGAAGCCGCCGUCCACCAGUAAGGACGGAGGGCAAUGUGGCGUUAAGGAAGAGCCUCUCUGACCAGACGUUUCGUUGUUCGGACCGCGGAAGCCCGAGUCCCCCUGACUGGGGCCACUGCCCAGGGCGGGUGCAAGGCCUCUUCGGCUUCGUUCGACGGUUCGAAGGUUGCUGGCUCCUUUCCUCAGAGUCGAGUUGCUUGAAAGUGCAGCUCUAAGCGGGUGGUAAACUCCAUCUAAGGCUAAAUACGACCAUGAGACCGAUAGCGAACAAGUACCGUGAGGGAAAGUUGCAAAGAACUUUGAAGAGAGAGUUCAAGAGUACGUGAAACCGCUCGGAGGCAAACGGGUGGGCCCUCGAAGGUCGAACGGGGGGAUUCAGCCAGUCGGCUCGAAUUUCGUGAAAAAAGAAAUUCAAAGCCUUCGUCUAUUUCGCGGUCGAAAAGGGCGACUCGUCGUCCGAAUCGGAUCUCUUCGGAGACCGGGCCGCAGACGCAGGGCGGUCGGCUCGUGCACUUCCCCCUCAGUAGGACGCCGCGACCGGUCGGGUCAAAUCAAAGUUUUGCGGCCAUUAGGCGAGAGGAUCGAGACAGGUAUCCGUUUCCGUCUCGAGCCCGUCUUUGUUCCUUGUCUCUCUCUCGGGAGAGCUGGGCGCGGGGCGAGUUCGACGGUCGGAGUUACAGUCUCUUCUCGACCCGAGCACCGCCACCCGACCGACAAAUGGUCACGAAUCCGUUGACGCGUGCCCGCGUUCUCAUGAUCGAAAGCGCUCGCCCUAGUCCCGGGCAGGCCGGACGCUUGGAGUUCAAAGUUCCCGUCGCCCCCUCGUCCGGGGUGGGAAUCCGUCGGACGCCGGUUACAAAAGAACCGCAAAGGCGAUCGACGGCUCCGCGUCUGCCGCUGGCUCACGGGGAAAAGCGUUCUGGCGUGGAGGCAUCGCUCGCGGUCGGCGGCGAGUAGGUCGGUCACCCACCCGUCCCGUCUUGAAACACGGACCAAGGAGUCUAACUUGUGCGCAAGUCGUAGGGUCGGCUCGAAACGAAUCGAAACCCGAAGGCGAAAUGAAAGUGAAGGACCGCGGACCCGAGUUCCGGGGGAGAAAGGCGAGAGAGGGAAAGGAGCUUUAACCGGCUUUUUUUUUCUUUUCUUUCUUUUUCUUUUACCCGUGAGCUUGCCGGAAAGCGGGUUUCCGAGGCGAGAUCCCCCGAUCCGUCGAAAGAUCGAAACACGCGUCGGCGAUCGUUCCCGAAAGGUGAGCUUUCGUCGGCCGCGUGGGGCGCAUCGCCGGCCCGUCACAGCCGCUUUGCUUCGAUCGUUCGCAGUCUCUUUYUUCGAAACCUUCUUCGUUCCCGGGUUUCCCUCUUCCUUUUCGACCUUUUCCUUUCCCCUAUUCUUUUCCGGCGCGUUCACCCGCGUCGCGGAGAGAAACCGGGCGGAAGCGGAGAGCGAGAGAGGGGAGAGGCCGGGCGAAAGGCGACGAAAAGAUUCGCGCGGGCCGGAGAAACUUUAGUCGGCGUGGCGGAGCAAGAGCGCACACGUUGGGACCCGAAAGAUGGUGAACUAUGCCCGGGCAGGACGAAGCCAGAGGAAACUCUGGUGGAGGUCCGUAGCGAUUCUGACGUGCAAAUCGAUCGUCGGACCUGGGUAUAGGGGCGAAAGACUAAUCGAACCGUCUAGUAGCUGGUUCCCUCCGAAGUUUCCCUCAGGAUAGCUGGCGCUCAAACGGAUAAUGUCAGUCUCAUCCGGUAAAGCGAAUGAUUAGAGGCAUUGGGGCCGAAACGGCCUCAACCUAUUCUCAAACUUUCAAUGGGUGAGAUGUCCGGCUUUCUUGAUUGUGAAGUCCGAGACAUUGGAUGCGAGUGCCCAGUGGGCCACUUUUGGUAAGCAGAACUGGCGCUGUGGGAUGAACCAAAAGCCGGGUUACGGCGCCCGAUGCGGACGCUCAUAAGACCCCAUGAAAGGUGUUGGUUGCUAUAGACAGCAGGACGGUGGCCAUGGAAGUUGGAA